rnacentral:tRNA from 1 species
GGUGGUGUGGGUCACUGGUAGAACAUGUGCUUAGCAUGCACAGGAUCCUGGGUUCCAUCCCUAGCACUGCCC